GAUGAACGCUGGCGGCGUGCUUAACACAUGCAAGUCGAACGAAGCACUUUACUUGAUCUUUUCGGAGUGAUUGUUUUGUGACUGAGUGGCGGACGGGUGAGUAACGCGUGGGUAACCUGCCUCACACAGGGGGAUAACAGUUGGAAACGGCUGCUAAUACCGCAUAAGCGCACAGUACCGCAUGGUACGGUGUGAAAAACUCCGGUGGUGUGAGAUGGACCCGCGUCUGAUUAGCUAGUUGGCAGGGCAACGGCCUACCAAGGCGACGAUCAGUAGCCGACCUGAGAGGGUGACCCGGCACAUUGGGACUGAGACACGGCACAAACUCCUACGGGAGGCAGCAGUGGGGAAUAUGGCACAAUGGGGGAAACCCUGAUGCAGCGACGCCGCGUGAGCGAAGAAGUAUUUCGGUAUGUAAAGCUCUAUCAGCAGGGAAGAAGAAAUGACGGUACCUGACUAAGAAGCACCGGCUAAAUACGUGCCAGCCGCCGCCGUAA
rnacentral:rRNA from 1 species